rnacentral:rRNA from 1 species
GACGAACGCUGGCGGCGUGCUUAACACAUGCAAGUCGAACGGAAAGGCCCCCUUGUGGGGUACUCGAGUGGCGAACGGGUGAGUAACACGUGAGUAACCUACCCUUGACUUUGGGAUAACUUCAGGAAACUGGGGCUAAUACCGCAUAGGAGCUCCUGCUGCAUGGUGGGGGUUGGAAAGUUUCGGCGGUUGGGGAUGGACUCGCGGCUUAUCAGCUUGUUGGUGGGGUAGUGGCUCACCAAGGCUUUGACGGGUAGCCGGCCUGAGAGGGUGACCGGCCACAUUGGGACUGAGAUACGGCCCAGACUCCUACGGGAGGCAGCAGUGGGGAAUAUUGCACAAUGGGCGGAAGCCUGAUGCAGCAACGCCGCGUGCGGGAUGACGGCCUUCGGGUUGUAAACCGCUUUCGCCUGUGACGAAGCGUGAGUGACGGUAAUGGGUAAAGAAGCACCGGCUAACUACGUG